CAAUAGCGUAUAUUAACGUUGUUGCAGUUAAAAAGUUCGUAGUUGGAUUUCUGGAGGGAGCGUCGGCCCGUAUUUACGAGUGCGUGACGUCUCUGUCCAUCCUUGCGGGAAGGCACGGCAUUGAUUUGUUGUGUCGGAUCGCAUCAUUUACUGUGAAAAAAUUAGAGUGUUCAAAGCAGGCUUUCGCUUGAAUACAUUAGCAUGGAAUAAUAAGAUAGGACUUUGGUGCUAUUUUGUUGGUUGAGCCUAAAGUAAUGAUUAAUAGGGAUAGUUGGGGGCACCUGUAUUGCGUUGUCAGAGGUGAAAUUCUUGGAUUUACGCAAGACAAACAGCUGCGAAAGCGUCUGCCAAGGAUGUUUUCAUUA
rnacentral:rRNA from 1 species